rnacentral:rRNA from 1 species
GACGAACGCUGGCGGCGUGCUUAACACAUGCAAGUCGAGCGGUAAGGCCCUUUCGGGGGUACGACGAGCGGCGAACGGGUGAGUAACACGUGAGCAACCUGCCCUUCACUUCGGGAUAAGCCUCGGAAACGGGGUCUAAUACCGGAUAUCACUCCUUACUUCAUGGUUUGGGGUUGAAAGUUUUGGCGGUGGGGAGUGGGCUCGCGGCCUAUCAGCUUGUUGGUGGGGUAA